rfam:Triticum aestivum genome assembly, contig: Triticum_aestivum_CS42_TGACv1_scaffold_500993_6BL
UGUGUACUCCCUCCGUUCCAAAAUACUUGACUUCCAUUUGUCCAAAAAUGGAUGUGCCUAUAUACUAAAACAUGUCUAGAUACAUAUAUAUUUUGACAAAUAGAAGGCAUGUAUUGUGCAACAGAGGGAGUAGAAU